GAGUUUGAUCCUGGCUCAGGACGAACGCUGGCGGCGUGGAUUAGGCAUGCAAGUCGCGCGACGGACCUUCGGGUUACGGAGCGGCGAACGGGCGAGUAACACGUGAACAAUCUGUCCCUACAUUCCGGAUAAUUGGCCGAAAGGCCUUGUAAUACGGGCGAGGAUGGUGGUGAGGCAUCUCACUAUCAGGGAAGGUGGAGGAGUAAUCCUUUGCCGUGCAGGGAGGGGUUCGCGGCCUAUCAGUUAGUUGGUGGGGUAACGGCCUACCAAGACGACGACGGGUAGCUGGUCUGAGAGGAUGGUCAGCCACAUUGGAACUGAGACACUGUCCAGACUCCUACGGGAGGCUGCAGUCGAGAAUCUUGGGCAAUGCACGAAAGUGUGACCCAGCGACGCCGCGUGGAGGAUGAAGGCCCUUGGGUUGUAAACUCCUUUUAGGGGAGAAGAACGUCCCUUCGGGGACUUGACGGUACCCCCUGAAUAAGCCACGGCUAACUACGUGCCAGCAGCCGCGGUAAUACGUAGGUGGCAAGCGUUGUCCGGAUUUACUGGGCGUAAAGCGUGUGUAGGCGGACCUUUAAGUAGAAAGUGAAAGGUUGGUGCUCAACACCAACAUUGCUCUCUAUACUGGAGGUCUUGAGUGUCGGAGAGGAAGAUGGAACUGCACGUGUAGCGGUGAAAUGCGUUGAGAUGUGCAGGAACACCAAUGGCGAAGGCAAUCUUCUGGACGAAAACUGACGCUGAGACACGAAAGCCAAGGUAGCAAACAGGAUUAGAUACCCUGGUAGUCUUGGCCCUAAACUAUGUUCACUAGGUGUCGGGGGUUUCCCUCGGUGCCGCAGCUAACGCAUUAAGUGAACCGCCUGGGGACUACGGCCGCAAGGUUGAAACUCAAAGGAAUUGGCGGGGGCCCGCACAAGCGGUGGAGCAUGUGGCUUAAUUCGAUGCAACGCGAAGAACCUUACCAGGGCUUGACAUGCUACUGCAAGCUGCCGAAAAGCAGUCGCCUUCGAGGGUGUAGCACAGGUGGUGCAUGGCUGUCGUCAGCUCGUGUUGUGAAAUGUUGGGUUAAGUCCCGCAACGAGCGCAACCC
rnacentral:rRNA from 1 species